AUCCAACUGAAAACAGUUCAAACCCUCUCGGCCCGAAUAGGAGGGCAAGGCUUAUCAUCCUUCCGAGACUCCACCCCGGACCCGGACAAUGGCGAGCGCUCACGCCAGUUUUGCCCUCACCAUCGCUGCUUCCAGAAGCUUCAGCUUCACUAUCGUGCCAUGCCCCUCCCCAUCGCCCACGCAUCGUCCGGCCGCCUCCUCCGUUGGGGUACGCAACCAGCAGCGCGCGUCCACUGCCAUGGCCUGCCUCCAGCAGCCGAGUGCUUCCCACGACGCCGCCACCAGGCUGUACGUCAGCGGUCUUUCGUUCCGCACCACCGAACGGAGCCUCCGGGGCGCGUUUGAGAAGUUUGGUGACCUUACGGAAGUUUGUCUCGUGAUGGAUAGAGUAGCGAACCGACCGAGAGGUUUCGCUUUCCUUUCUUACACCGAGGAGGAGGAAGCCAGGGGCGCCAUGGAAGGAAUGCACGGGAAGUUCCUGGAUGGCCGAGUAAUCUUUGUCGAGGUUGCCAAACGAAGACCUGGAGCCUGAAGGAUCGUGUCCAGCAUGGCCGUACGGCAUCACCAGUGUUACAAUUUUUAAGGUUCUGGCAAAGUCCCUGAUGAGACACACUGAUGCAGCCAAAGCUCAUGUGAAGUUCAUAUGCCAAUAGAGUAACUGAAGAAACCUCAGCAGCAUUCGGUUGUGUAGCUGCCAUUUCAUUGUUUCACAAAACAAUAUACAUAAUUUACAUAUAUAGGUCAUA